AACAUUACCUGCUGUGACAGACUUAAAGCCACAACCCCCUCCCACCUGUAUUAAAUAUCUUCAACCUAAAAAACAGGCCCUAGACCCAACUUAGAUCCAAAUUACAGUGGCAUUGGAAGUAUGUGACAGUUGCACUGGUUUCUUCUCUUUCAGUUGGCUAUCCUAGCAACCCACAGUAAAUGGCCUCUAAAGCUUCACCUUCCUCUGCCGUUCAAAUAUUCAACAUCCUCAAGUGUGGGUGUGGAUGCAAAGGUACUGGAGCCUUUGAAGUAUGUCCGUGCCCAUAGAGCCCUUUCAGCUACCAAAGGUGGGCCAUCGCUAAAGUUGGACCAUCGCUAGGUUCAGGUAGCCAACUCUUUCUUUGAAAGUGUGGGCAGGUGAGUCCCAGAUCUACCGAACCGGACUCCUGAAGUCCUUACUAUAGACUCUUGCUCUAACCCGCCUUUUCCUGCUAGGUGUUUUGCGACCCAACUGGCCAUGCUGCUCACGCUACUAUCACCCUCAGGCAAAGCUAGCGCCCCUCUCCUAUCAAGGAUCAGACAAGUCGGCAUUCCUGGCGGAUAGACAGGCAUCUCGAAAGGCUUGAGCUCCAAGAUGCGAUCACUGACCCCCUUUCUUGCCUUUCAUUGGCGUGGGUCACCCUUCUCCUUUGCAUUGGAACCUAUUUUCACAUUGCCACCAGAAAUUGCCCCACCACCGAUCCCUAGCCCAGCAGAGGCAGGGGCCUAAGUAAGUAGGGGAGCUCCUGACCCUAGGAGGGUCUCAAAGCCCCCACAUUACUCUGCAAAAGCUCUAUCGGGCAAGAGGGUGAGCUGUGAGUUAGUUUUAACCAGGGUUAAAGUCAGUCCUCGGCUCCAGCCUUUGUCUCUCUUGGAAUGUUUAGGGGCUGCAUAUGCUUUUGUGUUGCAAACAGCAAGCAGGGUCCCCAGGAGUCCCUGACCCCAUGCCUUGGCUGGAGCGCCGUUUCCCUGGACGACUGUGGCUGAGCUGGCCUCCCGGCAGUAAUCUUGCGCAGACACACUGCCACGCGCAAGGACGCCAGC
rnacentral:lncRNA from 1 species